AUGGGACGCCCUCAAAGUGCGCUUCGUCGGUGCCGAUCGGGUGCGGGCGGCGAGGCUUGCGAUGCUGCGCGGCAAGUUCGAUCGCCUGCGGACGGACUGGUCGACUACGCCGGGAAGGUCAGCGGCAUGGCGGCGAGGUACGUGGUGCUCGGAUCGACGCUCGACAACAGCGCCAUUGUGAAGAAGCUACUCAACACCGUGGCGGACCGGUUGUACGCCGCGGUCACCGGCAUCGAGCAGUUCUGCAACAUGGAGGAGAUGGCGUUCGAGCAGGCGCUCGGAUGGCUCAAGGCGUUUGAGGAGAGGACGCGGCAGCGUGUGUAG
rnacentral:rRNA from 1 species